GAUGAACGCUGGCGGCGUGCCUAAUACAUGCAAGUCGAACGGACGGACGAGAAGCUUGCUUCUCUGAUGUUAGCGGCGGACGGGUGAGUAACACGUGGAUAACCUACCUAUAAGACUGGGAUAACUUCGGGAAACCGUAGCUAAUACCGGAUAAUAUUUUGAACCACAUGGUUCAAAAGUGAAAGACGGUGUUGCUGGCACUUAUCGCUGGAUCCGCGCUGCAUUAGCUAGUUGGUAAGGUAACGGCUUACGAAGGGAACGAUGCGUAACCGACCUGAGAGGGUGGUAGGCCACACUGGAACGUAGACACGGUCCAGACUCCUACGGGAGGCAGCAGUAGGGAAUCUUCCGCAAUGGGCGAAAGCCUGACGGAGCAACGCCGCGUGAGUGAUGAAGGUCUUCGGAUCGUAAUACCCUGUUAUUAGGGAAGAACAUAUGUGUAAGGAACUGUGCACAGCUUGACGGUACCUAAUCAGAAAGCCACGGCUAACUACGUG
rnacentral:rRNA from 1 species